CAUAGGUUAAUGAGGCGAACCGGGGGAACUGAAACAUCUAAGUACCCCGAGGAAAAGAAAUCAACCGAGAUUCCCCCAGUAGCGGCGAGCGAACGGGGAGGAGCCCAGAGCCUGAAUCAGUGUGUGUGUUAGUGGAAGCGUCUGGAAAGGCGCGCGAUACAGGGUGACAGCCCCGUACACAAAAAUGCACAUACUGUGAGCUCGAUGAGUAGGGCGGGACACGUGGUAUCCUGUCUGAAUAUGGGGGGACCAUCCUCCAAGGCUAAAUACUCCUGACUGACCGAUAGUGAACCAGUACCGUGAGGGAAAGGCGAAAAGAACCCCGGCGAGGGGAGUGAAAAAGAACCUGAAACCGUGUAC
rnacentral:rRNA from 1 species